rnacentral:lncRNA from 1 species
CAGACAGUAAAGAAUCUGUCUACAAUGCAGGAGAUCUGGGUUCAGUCCCUGGGUUGGGAAGAUCUCCUGGAGAAGGGAAUGGCUACCCACUUCAGUGUUCUUGCCUGGAGAAUUCCAUGGACAGAGGAGCCUAGCAGGCUACAGUCCACAAGGUCACAAAGAGUUGGACGUGACUGAGUGACUAAUACAACAGCAAUCAUUGUUUCCCUUAUUAACUCAUUUAAUCUUUAUUACACCAGUUAUUAAAAAUAACUGCUAUUGUUUUAUUUUACAGAUGAGGAACCCAAGACUCAAUGUGGUUAAGUAACUUGUCCAGAAUCAUCCAAACACUUCAUGGAUUUUAACACCAGACCUCUGGGUAAUAAAGCUUCCACUUUUCAUAGAGCAAAGCUGUGUCCCCUGGGCUGAAGACAAGAGUGACCCAAGACCCUCAAGUCUUGCUACCAUCACAUUGCACUCAGGAGAAUUUUCAGAGCACCCUGGGGACCCAGGAGCUGUCUAGGCAGAUGCUGAAAAAUGUUGCUUCAGGAAAAGGUCUGUCUACAUCUAUAUCUCAGGUUUACAGUCUCAUUAGGAUCAUAUUGGUACAGUGUGCUGGUGAGAAGCUUCUCAGUAGGGCACAGGGAAGUGACAUAAUGGUAAGAUGCAAACAGUUACUGAAGGCCCUUAGGAGUUUGCAGGCAGCACCCAUAUGAGAAAUGAGAGAAGCUUUCCUAUGAGGCUGCUCUACUCCCUGACAAAAGACCAGUGAAUUCCCUGACCACUCUGUUCUUAACUUCCACCAAUUUCCCUGCAGACAUAUACAAAAAGAAUCAGGCUAAAUGAUACCCUUUACCUUUGUAGUUUUAGAUCUGGGAGAAGUCAGCACCAUGAACCAAUUUUUAGUAGAAAUUGUUGUCUUGAUCCAGGUUAGAGGAUAGUUUGAAAAGGUUUAUAACCUCUAGAUAAAGACGGAGAGGGAAAUGACAUAAAUAAUUGGUGUUGUGGAAGCUCAUGGUAAAGAAAAUGCAAAUAUGUAGGUGAAUUUGGGGAGUUAUUUGGAAUGAUUUCAGAUUUUCAAGCAGUGUAUAUGCUAGGGGGACAAACAUCAGGGUGAUGUUUUCUGACUUUGCUCAUGUACUAUUGAAUCAGAGGAAGUUCUAGGUUUCACAUCAGCCCUCAUGAGUAAGGUGACACAAAGCCAGAAGAAAGCUUAAAAAAAAAAAAAAAAAAAACUAAAAAACAACUAGGUCAUAAAAUACUAGAAUUGAUCUCAAAUCUUAAUGCAGUUUAAAUGGACCAGAUUUUUGCAAUUUUCAAAGUACCAGACAGCUGAGACUGAACUUUAUUGAUUAGUUCUAUUUUAAUGAGCCCUUGACUGUUGGAUGGCAUCACUGUCUCAAUGGACGUGAGUCUGAGUGAACUCUGGGAGUUGGUGAUGGCCAGGGAGGCCUGGCAUGCUGCAGUUCAUGGGGUCGCCAAGAGUCGGACACGACUGAGCGACUGAACUGAACUGAACUGACUGUUGGAACCUUGGGAUGCUGAACUAUUGAAGUCCUACAAAUGUUGGGAUUUAGCUGCAUGGGUGCCGCAGAAGCAGAGGCAUCUGUGGGAAGAGUGGGUGCUAUGAGAGCAUUGCAGGGUCCAAGUGGACUUGGUAAAGAUCAGGAAAUGUUUGGAUAUCAAGGGAAAAUGAGGGAACAAAGAAAAGAGUUU